rnacentral:lncRNA from 1 species
AUAUGUAUAUCAAAUAUAUUAUAAUUAGCUGAAUUUCAUAAUUUUAGAAAAGAAAUAAAAUAGAAAAAUAAGAAGAUAAAGAAAAAAAUAUACAAAAAAUUAAUUUAUAAAUAAACCAUCAAUUUCAAUUGUCAUAUAAUUUUAAAAUUAAAAUUACCUUUGUAAUAUAUUAUAGAUUAUAAAUAUUACGCAACAUGAACCCAAAUAGUUGAAAAAAAUUCAACAAUUUCAACUGCCC